rnacentral:rRNA from 1 species
AUACGGAGGGUGCAAGCGUUAAUCGGAAUUACUGGGCGUAAAGCGUACGUAGGCGGUUAUUUAAGUCAGAUGUGAAAGCCCCGGGCUUAACUUGGGAACUGCAUUUGAAACUGGGUAACUAGAGUUUAGUAGAGGGGAGUGGAAUUUCAGGUGUAGCGGUGAAAUGCGUAGAGAUCUGAGGGAACACCAGUGGCGAAGGCGACUCCCUGGACUAAAACUGACGCUGAGGUACGAAAGCGUGGGUAGCAAACAGGAUUAGAUACCCCGGUAGUCC